rnacentral:rRNA from 1 species
CACGUAGGGGACGAGCGUUGUCCGGAUUUAUUGGGCGUAAAGAGCGUGUAGGCGGUCCGGUAAGUCAGCUGUGAAAGUCAAGGGCUCAACCCUUGAAUGCCGGUUGAUACUGUCGGGCUAGAGUCCGGAAGAGGCGAGUGGAAUUCCCGGUGUAGCGGUGAAAUGCGCAGAUAUCGGGAGGAACACCAAUGGCGAAGGCAGCUCGCUGGGACGGUACUGACGCUGAGACGCGAAAGCGUGGGGAGCAAACAGG